rnacentral:rRNA from 1 species
CGGCAACAGCUCAAAUUUGAAAUCUGGCCCUCGGGUCCGAAUUGUAAUUUGUAGAGGAUGCUUUUGGUGAGGUACCUUCCGAGUUCCCUGGAACGGGACGCCAUAGAGGGUGAGAAUCCCGU